AUCUUUGUGCUUGGGACAAUGAUACAGCUAGUGAGGUUCUAACUGAUGCAUGUCUAUUGCUGGUUGAAAAUUAUUUCCAAACCCCUUCUUCAGCCUGGGUUUGCCCAUGGCCGUUGAGAAUUUUUGGAAGGGCUCCUCUAAUGGGG
rnacentral:snRNA from 1 species